GACGGAGGAUGCAAGAGUUAUCCGGAAUCACUGGGCGUAAAGCGUCUGUAGGUGGUCAAAUAAGUCAACUGUUAAAUCUUGAGGCUCAACCUCAAAAUCGCAGUCGAAACUAUUCGACUAGAGUAUAGUAGGGGUAAAGGGAAUUUCCAGUGGAGCGGUGAAAUGCGUAGAGAUUGGAAAGAACACCGAUGGCGAAGGCACUUUACUGGGCUAUUACUAACACUGAGAGACGAAAGCUAGGGUAGCAAAUGGG
rnacentral:rRNA from 1 species